rnacentral:rRNA from 1 species
UGGGGAAUAUUGGUCAAUGGACGCAAGUCUGAACCAGCCAAGUAGCGUGCAGGAUGACGGCCCUAUGGGUUGUAAACUGCUUUUAUAUGGGGAUAAAGUGGGGAACGUGUUCCCUUUUGCAGGUACCAUAUGAAUAAGGACCGGCUAAUUCCGUGCCAGCAGCCGCGGUAAUACGGAAGGUUCGGGCGUUAUCCGGAUUUAUUGGGCGUAAAGCGCGCGCAGGUGGUUUAGAAAGUCUGAUGUGAAAGCCCACGGCUCAACCGUGGAGGGUCAUUGGAAACUAAUAAACUUGAGUGCAGGAGAGAAAAGUGGAAUUCCUAGUGUAGCGGUGAAAUGCGUAGAGAUUAGGAGGAACACCGGUGGCGAAAGCGGCUUUUUGGCCUGCAACUGACACUGAGGCGCGAAAGCGUGGGGAGCAAACAGG